GGAACUUAGAAGAACUUGAUGUUCUGUAAUUAUCCAGCAAUGUUUGAACACGAUGUUCAAACAAGCCGCCACUGAGCCACGGAUGGCGAAUUGGCGGCGGUUGCGUUCGGUAUCUAUUUGUAUAUCAGAACAUUUAGUUCUUCUUAGUUAC
rnacentral:ncRNA from 1 species